rnacentral:rRNA from 1 species
UUUAAAUGUAAAUUUAAAUACUAAAUUAGUAUUAGUUAAGUUCUUAAAAAUUAAAGAUUUUGGCGGUAUUUUAGUCUUUUCAGAGGAACCUGUUCUGUAAUUGAUAUUCCACAAUUUAUUAAACUUAUUUUAUAUUAGCUUGUAUAUCGUCGUAGUUUGAAUAUUUUAGAAGAAUUUAAAUAUUCGAUAUUUUAUAUAAAAAUAUAAAUCAGAUCAAGGUGCAGCUUAUAAAUAAGUAGAAAUGGGUUACAAUAAAAUUAUUUAUAUGGUUAUAAUAAUGAAAUUUAUUAUAUAAAGUGGAUUUGAGAGUAAUUUUAAUUAAUUAAUUAAAAUGAUUUGAGCUCUAAAAUAUGU